CGAAAGCCUGACGGAGCAAGACCGCGUGAGGGAGGAAGGCUCUUGGGUCGUAAACCUCUUUUGUCAGGGAAGAACACAAUGACGGUACCUGACGAAUCAGCCUCGGCUAACUCCGUGCCAGCAGCCGCGGUAAUACGGAGGAGGCAAGCGUUAUCCGGAAUUAUUGGGCGUAAAGCGUCCGUAGAUGGUCGCUCAAGUCUGCUGUCAAAGACCGGGGCUUAACCCUGGAAAGGCAGUGGAAACUGAACAGCUAGAGAGAGGUAGGGGUAGAGGGAAUUCCCAGUGUAGCGGUGAAAUGCGUAGAUAUUGGGAAGAACAUCAGUGGCGAAAGCGCUCUACUGGACCUUAUCUGACAUUGAGGGACGAAAGCUAGGGGAGCG
rnacentral:rRNA from 1 species